AGAACGAACGCUGGCGGCAGGCUUAACACAUGCAAGUCGAACGCUCCGCAAGGGGAGUGGCAGACGGGUGAGUAACGCGUGGGAACAUACCCCUCGGUUCGGAAUAACUCAGGGAAACUUGAGCUAAUACCGGAUACGCCCUUACGGGGAAAGAUUUAUUGCCGAAGGAACGGCCCGCGUCCGAUUAGCUAGUUGGUGAGGUAAUGGCUCACCAAGGCGACGAUCGGUAGCUGGUCUGAGAGGAUGACCAGCAUCACUGGGACUGAGACACGGCCCAGACUCCUACGGGAGGCAGCAGUGGGGAAUAUUGGACAAUGGGCGCAAGCCUGAUCCAGCCAUGCCGCGUGGAUGAUGAAGGCCUUAGGGUUGUAAAGUCCUUUUAACGGGGAAGAUAAUGACGGUACCCGUAGAAUAAGCCCCGGCUAACUUCGUGCCAGCAGCCGC
rnacentral:rRNA from 1 species